rnacentral:rRNA from 1 species
UACGUAGGGUGCAAGCGUUGUCCGGAAUUAUUGGGCGUAAAGAGCUCGUAGGCGGUCUGUCGCGUCUGCUGUGAAAACUCAGGGCUUAACCCUGAGCUUGCAGUGGGGUACGGGCAGACUAGAGUGGCGGUAGGGGAGACUGGAAUUCCUGGGUGUAGCGGUGAAAUGCGCAGAUAUCAGGAGGAACACCGGUGGGCGAAGGCGGGUCUCUGG